rnacentral:rRNA from 1 species
UACAGAGGGUGCGAGCGUUAAUCGGAAUUACUGGGCGUAAAGCGUGCGUAGACGGUUAUUUAAGUCGGAUGUGAAAGCCCCUGGCUCAACUGGGGAAGUGCACCCGAAACUGAAUGGCUUGAGUGCAAAAGAGGGCCGCGGAAUUCCCGGUGUAGAGGUGAAAUUCGUAGAUAUCGGGAGGAACACCGGUGGCGAAGGCGGCGGCCUGGGUUGACACUGACGCUGAGGCGCGAAAGCGUGGGGAGCAAACAGG